rnacentral:misc_RNA from 1 species
GACGGAGGGGGCUAGCGUUGUUCGGAUUUACUGGGCGUAAAGAGCGCGUAGGCGGCAUAGCAAGUUGGAAGUGAAAGCCCGGGGCUUAACCUCGGAACUGCUUUCAAAACUGCUAAGCUAGAGUAUGGUAGAGGGUGAUAGAAUUCCUAGUGUAGAGGUGAAAUUCUUAGAUAUUAGGAGGAAUACCGGUGGCGAAGGCGGUCACCUGGGCCAUUACUGACGCUGAGGCGCGAAAGCGUGGGGAGCAAACAGG